rnacentral:rRNA from 1 species
CGGUUGAUCCUGCCGGACCUGACUGCUAUCGGAUUGAUACUAAGCCAUGCGAGUCAUUGUAGCAAUACAAGGCAUACGGCUCAGUAACGCGUAGUCAACCUAACCUAUGGACGGGAAUAACCUCGGGAAACUGAGAAUAAUGCCCGAUAGAACACUAUACCUGGAAUGGUUUGUGUUCCAAAUGAUUUAUCGCCGUAGGAUGGGACUGCGGCCUAUCAGUUUGUUGGUGAGGUAAUGGCCCACCAAGACUAUUACAGGUACGGGCUCUGAGAGGAGUAGCCCGGAGAUGGGUACUGAGACACGGACCCAGGCCCUAUGGGGCGCAGCAGGCGAGAAAACUUUGCAAUGUGCGAAAGCACGACAAGGUUAAUCCGAGUGGUUUCUGCUAAAGGAACCUUUUGUUAGUCCUAGAAACACUAACGAAUAAGGGGUGGGCAAGUUCUGGUGUCAGCCGCCGCGGUAAAACCAGCACCUCAAGUGGUCAGGAUGAUUAUUGGGCCUAAAGCAUCCGUAGCCGGCUCUGUAAGUUUUCGGUUAAAUCUGUACGCUUAACGUACAGGCUGCCG